GAAACAUCAAAAGAAACCUGCAGUCCAGGACCAGAGCUCAGCUUUCCUUUUCUCCAGUCAAAUGAAGAAGUAAUCUCAUCAGGUUGGAAAGUGCUGACUAAGGAUUUAAUAAAGUGCCUGCAGAUGUGGCGUCUCUAAGAUUAAAAAGUUAAACAAAAGGCCUCAAGGGCAAAGUUGAACACUGCGGAAGGAGGCUGUUAAUGUGGAAUCCAGAACUGGGUGUGACACUUCGCUUUCUUCCCCAGGCAAGGUGGGUUAUUUAAGGACAUUCACACACAGAAAACAGAGACGUGCAGAUACUGGGAGGCCUCUGUCUCCAUGGCCCCCGCAGGCCCGACUCUUCAUCAGCCCCGAAGAGGACGCUACCAACCAGGACUGCUCUCAUCUGAGUAACCUUUUACCUCAUGAAACCAAAGACUUCCGAAUGAACAACUGCACUCUGGCCCGCUCGUGUUCGCUCUGCAGACUUCCCAGAGGGCUGUGUGCAUCGCAGUGGAGCUGGGCCCCCGGAGGCCGAGUUAGCAGAACCCCAUCAUUGAACUAGUAUACACCAUUCUGUACCAGUGAAGUCAUCUCAGACAUCAAAGCUGCACACCACCAGUGUACCUGCCCUUCUGGAGCCGCUUGUGAGGGGGUUCUAAUGAAGCACGACUCUGGGAGCCGGAGACCCCCGUGGACACGGCAGUUCAAAGGGAAUAUUUCAACAAUGAUUACAUUUUGUAAAUCUUUUUAUGAAAGAGACAGCUUAUUUCCUGCUUUUUCAUGAAAAAUAGAUUCUAUCCAUUAAAGUGAGCCCGCGCCACGGAAGCUGCUUGAGAUCUGAGGUGCAGCGUGGAGAUUAAGGGGACAACGGCCCGAUGAAAUCGUCCAGAGUUCCUAUCUGUUUGGCUAGGAUGGCACUGCUGGAUUGUCUGGGUGGAGCCCAGACGGUGCGCUGGAUGGCUCUGCUAGCGGAAAUGCAGUGACAAUGGUGCUUCGCGGUUUAUUUUCAGCCGGGGGCCUGGUGUUUAUUGUUUGUUCCUUUUUAUUCUUUGUGAUUCCACAGAGUCCAAACCAAAUAUCAGAAGGCAUUGGGCCACCCCUUUGAUUGCACAGGAAAAAAAGAUGAAAGAUUUUAGCUACAGAUUCAUUAAAUGCUAUUAUUUUUAAUGCCCCGAAAUGGGACAGACCCUUUCGCACGUGGGAAGUUAGCCAUUAAAGAGCUGGCUCGGCUCUGAAGAUACAAUACAGGCUUUAUUACUGGCUAAUGUCAGUCCCAAAGGCAAAACUAAAGAAGGCAGGCUACCCUUUUGUAAUUUUUGAUUUUCAGUAUUAAGAUAAUCUUUCCUCGGGUCUUUCCUUUUUUUUUUUUGGCGGCGGGGAGAGUUGAGUACAGUAGGGACGGAGGAGAAUAAUUUCCUAGGGAGCUAUGAAAUGAAAAAAAAAAUGUAUGUUUUCUGCACAUCAGAUUCCAACCUUAAUUAAAUGCCUGUUGUCUAACAAGUGCAGACAGUCACACUUGGGGCUGGCCCAACGGUGGCCCAGGGAGGUAACCUUUCUUGUUUAAAAAGAGAGGCGUGGGAGUGGAGGUCAGAGCUCAGCAGAGCGUGGCCACAUUGUAAUAAUCAUUCCACCCAGUGCUUCUCUGCUCCUGCUCUUCCCCCAGAGCUGAGAAGCCCUUCCCAAACACCACUCAGGUUCACAGCACAUCUCUCAUGUAGAUGUACUGUUUGGAUUGUGCAGGUAGAGAGAGUCUGGAAAGGGGUAAAAAAAUAAUAUUAAAGCGAAAAGUCCAAUUAUUACAAAAAGUCUCCAGAGACGUCCUGCAAUAGAACGACGGAGGAUCUGAUACUUUGCCAGAAACGAAUUCCCAAACUAACCUUUUCAGCCAAGGAGCCCUUUAGGCACUGCAUGGCAUCUGCCAUCUUUGGACCUUUCCACCGCAGCUGGUGCCGACUGGCACGGCCCAGGGCACAGGUCUUUGCUUCUUACCCCUUUAUUCACCCUCUGGUCACAGUCCGGGCUCCUUCCUCUUGUCCUUUCCGAGCCCUGUUUCCUGCCCACCCCCUCCACCCCUCUAGCCAGUCUCUUUCUCUCCCUUUCCACCUGGGUUCCCCCCCCCCCCCCACCAGGAAUUACGGCAGACCCCUCCUCUCCCAAAGGCUGCAGGAACCAACAGUCCUUCCUACUCCAUUCACCGGAUUAAGAAAGGAAGCGCAGAAGAAGGCACUCAGCUGCAACCACGACCACCCCGCCUAGCAGCUGGAAUGGAGGGGCUUCUGUAGUAAGCCAAAGAGCCAAAGAAACGAGGCUUAGAGGCAGAAUUGGGGCAGAAGGUGGAGGAGGCUGCAGCAUCUCAGUUCUCAGGCUCAUGAGAAAAGAGAGGACAGUGAGAUGCACCUCAGCGCUGGACUGUGAAUCGGGAGCCCGAGCUCAGUCCCCAGCUGCCCUGGGGGUGGCACCCCAGGGGACUCUGAUUCUGCUUACAAAGAUCCCAUUCCUGAACUUUCUUUACCUUCCGGGAACACCUGCUUUUCCAUUUCACUAGUUCCAGGAGUCAUCUUUUCCUUGUUCAUAGUGUGGAUGGGCUACUGGGGUAAGACUGUUCAUAUCCCUCACUGAGCUUGGCCAUGGAGAAAGCAGGAGACCUAAAUUCUAGUCUCUGCGACUUCAGGGGUCCAACUUUACGUAUCUGCAAAGCAGCCUCAGUAUACCAGUUAUCAUGGCAUUUGAGGGAGGAAGUAACAAACACAAAAAGACAAAACUUUCAAAUACUGGCCUAAAUGACUUGGAAAUACCGUAAGCAGCAUGGUCACAGAAGGCGUUGCUGUGAUCCGGACGGCAUGCGGUGGGGUCAAGGUCUCCCUCCUCUGGACCAACCACCCUGGAUAGAAAUGGAAUGAUUUCCCUGAGCCCAGGCAAAGCUCCAUGUGACAUCCCCGAAAGCACAAACCAGGGAUCAGCGAACAAUGCUUUCCUCCUCCUUCUGAAAAUGUGGUAGGAUUUAGGGUUUUAUGGCAACACAACUUGUCUUUGUUAAGACGUGACUUGCAAAACAAACCCACAUGGGGGGGUUGGCAGUUUCAAAUGACAGUACUUUUUUUUUUUUUAAUGCUGAAACAGCAAAUGCUUUUUAUGUUCAGAUUUAUUUCCUUCUAAAUCUGUAGAUUAAAUUUACAA